rnacentral:rRNA from 1 species
UACGGAGGGUGCAAGCGUUAUCCGGAAUGAUUGGGCGUAAAGCGUCCGUAGGUGGCAGUUCAAGUCUGCUGUCAAAGACCGGGGCUUAACUUCGGAAAGGCAGUGGAAACUGAACAGCUAGAGUAUGGUAGGGGCAGAGGGAAUUCCUGGUGUAGCGGUGAAAUGCGUAGAGAUCAGGAAGAACAUCGGUGGCGAAGGCGCUCUGCUGGACCAUAACUGACACUCAGGGACGAAAGCUAGGGGAGCGAAUGGG